rnacentral:rRNA from 1 species
CCUACGGGAGGCAGCAGUGGGGAAUAUUGCACAAUGGGCGAAACCCUGAUGCAGCAACGCCGCGUGAAGGAAGAAGGGUUUCGGCUUGUAAACUUCUUUUAACAGGGACGAAAGAAAUGACGGUACCUGAAUAAGAAGCCCCGGCUACCGAGGUGCCAGCAGCCGCGGUAAUACGUAGGGGGCAAGCGUUAUCCGGAUUUACUGGGUGUAAAGGGUGAGUAGGCGGCAUGGUAAGCCAGAUGUGAAGGCCUUGGGCUUAACCCGAGGAUUGCAUUGGAAACUAUCAAGCUAGAGUACAGGAGAGGAAAGCGGAAUUCCUAGUGUAGCGGUGAAAUGCGUAGAUAUUAGGAAGAAUACCAGUGGCGAAGGCGGCUUUCUGGACUGUAACUGACGCUGAGGCACGAAAGCGUGGGGAGCGAACAGGAUUAGAUACCCGAGUAGUC